UGGGUUGUGGCUCAGAGGUAGAGCGUUUGCUUAGCAUGCAUGGGGAACUGGGUUUGAUCCUCAGCACCACAU
rnacentral:tRNA from 1 species